rnacentral:rRNA from 1 species
AGUGAACGCUGGCGGUAGGCCUAACACAUGCAAGUCGAACGGCAGCACAGUAAGAGCUUGCUCUUACGGGUGGCGAGUGGCGGACGGGUGAGGAAUACAUCGGAAUCUACUUUUUCGUGGGGGAUAACGUAGGGAAACUUGCGCUAAUACCGCAUACGACCUACGGGUGAAAGCAGGGGAUCUUCGGACCUUGCUCGAUUGAAUGAGCCGAUGUCGGAUUAGCUAGUUGGCGGGGUAAAGGCCCACCAAGGCGACGAUCCGUAGCUGGUCUGAGAGGAUGAUCAGCCACACUGGAACUGAGACACGGUCCAGACUCCUACGGGAGGCAGCAGUGGGGAAUAUUGGACAAUGGGCGCAAGCCUGAUCCAGCAAUACCGCGUGGGUGAAGAAGGCCUUCGGGUUGUAAAGCCCUUUUGUUGGGAAAGAAAAGCAGCAGGUUAAUACCCCGCUGUUCUGACGGUACCCAAAGAAUAAGCACCGGCUAACUUCGUG